AAUGAAACGCUAGCUAUAGGCUUAACACAUGCAAAGUCGAGGGGGAAAACGGGCAAAAGACGUGCUUGCACCCUUUGGACGUCGACCGGCGCACGGGUGAGUAAACGCGUAUCCAACCUGCCCUUUACUUGGGGAUAACCCGUUGAAAGACGGACUAAUACCCAAUGAUAUUCAUUGAUGACAUCUGAUUUGAAUUAAAGAUUUAUCGGUAUAGGAUGGGGAUGCGUCUGAUUAGCUUGUUGGUGAGGUAACGGCUCACCCAAGGCAACGAUCAGUAGGGGUUCUGAGAGGAAGGUCCCCCACAUUGGAACUGAGACACGGUCCAAACUCCUACGGGAGGCAGCAGUGAGGAAUAUUGGUCAAUGGACGAGAGUCUGAACCAGCCAAGUAGCGUGCAGGAUGACGGCCCUAUGGGUUGUAAACUGCUUUUGUUUGGGAAUAAUCGACAUUACGUGUAAUGUUUUGCAUGUACCAUUCGAAUAAGGACCGGCUAAUUCCGUGCCAGCAGCCGCGGUAAU
rnacentral:rRNA from 1 species